UACGGGAAGGGCAAGCGUUAUCCGGCAUGACUGGGCGUAAAGAGUCCGUAGACUGUAAAGCAAGUUUUUUGUCAAAUUUUAAGACCUAAUCUUAUACUAGCAAUUAAUACUACUUUACUUUGAGUUUAAUGCAGAAAAGUAGAAUUUUAUACGACAGAGGUGAAAUUCGUAGAUAUAUAAAGGAAUGCCAAUAGCGAAGGCAACUUUUUAGCAGAAACUGACGUUGUGGGACGAAAGCGUGGGUAGCAAACAGG
rnacentral:rRNA from 1 species